GGAUAGAGAAUAGUUCAUAGGACAGAUACUAUGGCAGAAAAGGCUCUAUGGAGCAUGCCCAUCUUGCUGGAUCAGCUUGAACAGUAUUGUUUCUUCUUCUGCGAUGAGAUGAAAAACAUUAAAUCAUACCAAGGUUCUGACCUCUGAAAUACUGACAGUGAAAACUGAAAAACUACUGAUACUGUUUUGGAAGAAAUGACUGGAGGCUAAAACAUAUGAAGAACGGUUGCAGGAACUGGGUAUGUCUAGUUUAAUGAAAAGGACUAGGGGAGACAUGAUAGCAGUGUUCCAAUAUCUCAGGGGUCGCCACAAAGAAGAGGGAGUCAAGCUAUUCUCCAAAGCAAUGAGUGGAAACGAAUCAAGGAGAGAAGCAAGUGUCUACUGAUCAUGCUGUAUAUGUUCACUGGUAUAUCGGUAUCCUAGACCAUAGAAAGUGUUCAUCUACCUUGAAAAUGUCUACUGUACUGGAUUUGAAUGUGUGUUGCUUGCCUGCCCCGGUUGUUUGCUUGGCCUGAUUAAUUAACUCAAAUACAGAAAUGAUGUUUCAAGCUCCAUUUCUCACCAAAGGAAUUUUGACUGAGGUAUAAAUGGAAAGAAGUUAGAAAUAUCCUUCUCACUGGAGAGAAAUUAAAGAAAAAAAGUCU